UCAACGCUGGCGGCGUGCCUAACACAUGCAAGUCGAACGGGAAAGUGGAGCAAUCCAUGAGUAUAGUGGCGACCGGGUGAGUAACACGUGACUAACCUACCUUCAAGUGGGGGAUAACCUCGGGAAACCGGGGCUAAUACCGCAUAAAAUCUCUGUUAUGAGAAAGCAGGGAUCAAAGGAGCAAUUCGCUGGAAGAGGGGGUCGCGGCUGAUUAGCUAGUUGGUGGGGUAAUGGCCCACCAAGGCUUUGAUCGGUAGCCGGCCUGAGAGGGCGCACGGCCACACUGGAACUGAAACACGGUCCAGACUCCUACGGGAGGCAGCAGUGGGGAAUUUUGCGCAAUGGGGGAAACCCUGACGCAGCAACGCCGCGUGGAGGAUGAAGUCCCUUGGGACGU
rnacentral:rRNA from 1 species